UACGUAGGGGUCGAGCGUUUGUCCGGAGUUACUGGGCGUAAAGCGUGUGCAGGCGGCUCAUUGCGCCCGGCGUGAAAGCCCCCCGGCUCAACCGGGGAGAGUCGUCGGGGACGGGUGAGCUUGAGGGUAUCAGGGGCUGGUGGAAUUCCCGGUGUAGUGGUGAAAUGCGUAGAUAUCAGGAGGAACACCCGUGGCGAAGGCGGCUCUCUGGGGACGGUACUGACACUGAGACGCGAAAGCGUGGGGGAGCGAACAGG
rnacentral:rRNA from 1 species